UACGUAGGGUGCAAGCGUUGUCCGGAAUUAUUGGGCGUAAAGAGCUCGUAGGCGGUCUGUCGCGUCGGCUGUGAAAACCCGGAGCUCAACUCCGGGCCUGCAGUCGAUACGGGCAAACUGGAGUGUUGCAGGGGAGACUGGAAUUCCUGGUGUAGCGGUGAAAUGCGCAGAUAUCAGGAGGAACACCGAUGGCGAAGGCAGUUCUCUGGGCCGUAACUGACGCUGAGGAGCGAAAGCGUGGGGAGCGAACAGG
rnacentral:rRNA from 1 species